UACGUAGGGACCAAGCGUUGUUCGGAUUUACUGGGCGUAAAGGGCGCGUAGGCGGCGCGGUAAGUCACUUGUGAAAUCUCUGAGCUUAACUUAGAACGGCCAAGUGAUACUGCAGUGCUAGAGUGUGGAAGGGGCAAUCGGAAUUCUUGGUGUAGCGGUGAAAUGCGUAGAUAUCAAGAGGAACACCUGAGGUGAAGACGGGUUGCUGGGCCAACACUGACGCUGAGGCGCGAAAGCCAGGGGAGCAAACGGG
rnacentral:rRNA from 1 species